rnacentral:tRNA from 1 species
GGCACUAUGCCAGAGCGGUCUAAUGGCGGGGCCUGCAAAGCCUUCGAUCGUGGGUUCGAAUCCCACUGGUGCCU